rnacentral:lncRNA from 1 species
AUAACCUAUUUUUGCGGUCUCUAUCGCAUGCAUGGUGAAUCCUUCUGUUAUUCCAUUCUUUAUUAUUCUGUUGGAAUAACUUGUAUAAGUGGAUUACCACAUACAUGGUGAAUGAUCCUUCGUAUUCAUUCCUUAUUAAAUUGUGAAAAUAAUCUGGUUACGUUGAUUAUGAUGAGAGUCAUAAUAACAGCAUUGGACUGAUGAAAAUCAUGGGUAUAUUAAGUAUUAGUAAGUGUUAUGAUGAGUUAUGUUGGUUAUUAUGUGAAAACAUGAAAGUUUCUUAGAAAUCACAAAG